rnacentral:rRNA from 1 species
GGCAAGUCGAACGGCAGCGCGGGGCAACCUGGCGGCGAGUGGCGAACGGGUGAGUAAUAUAUCGGAACGUACCCUGGAGUGGGGGAUAACGUAGCGAAAGUUACGCUAAUACCGCAUACGAUCUACGGAUGAAAGCAGGGGACCGCAAGGCCUUGUGCUCCUGGAGCGGCCGAUAUCUGAUUAGCUAGUUGGUGAGGUAAAGGCUCACCAAGGCGACGAUCAGUAGCUGGUCUGAGAGGACGACCAGCCACACUGGAACUGAGACACGGUCCAGACUCCUACGGGAGGCAGCAGUGGGGAAUUUUGGACAAUGGGCGCAAGCCUGAUCCAGCAAUGCCGCGUGAGUGAAGAAGGCCUUCGGGUUGUAAAGCUCUUUUGUCAGGGAAGAAACGGUGGGGGCUAAUAUCCUUUGCUAAUGACGGUACCUGAAGAAUAAGCACCGGCUAACUACGUGCCAGCAGCC